rnacentral:rRNA from 1 species
CCUACGGGUGGCAGCAGUCGAGAAUCUUCGGCAAUGGGCGCAAGCCUGACCGAGCGACGCCGCGUGCGGGAUGAAGGCCCUCGGGUUGUAAACCGCUGUCGAGGGGGACGAAAUUUCAGUGGGUACUCCCAUUGAAUUGACCGAUCCCUGGAGGAAGGGUGGGCUAAGUUCGUGCCAGCAGCCGCGGUAAGACGAACCACCCAAAUUAUAUUCGGAAUUACUGGGCUUAAAGCGUGCGUAGGUGGCGUUGGAAAUCCCACAGCUCAACUGUGGAACUGCGCUUAAAACUACAAGGCUAGAGGAAUAUAGAGGUGAGCAGAACAGAUGGUGGAGCGGUGAAAUGCGUUGAUAUCAUCUGGAAUACCGGAGGCGAAGGCGGCUCACUGGGUAUUUUCUGACGCUGAGGUACGAAAGCUAGGGGAGCGAACGGGAUUAGAUACCCCUGUAGUC